UUCACUGGGAGUUGGUUGCAACAUCCACCGAGUCAAGAGGGGGUGGGGAGGGGGUUUGGCAUAAACGCCUGGCUGCAGAAAUUUCUCUUUAUUUACAAAAUAACCAGCCAUCUCUGAGCACAUCUGUCAAUACCUUCUCCCACGCCUCUGUCAUCGGGCUCAGCAUAAUGCUCGCUGCCUCAAUGGAGGAAUUUGCCAGAGAAAUGCCAAGUCUAUACCUGCAGUGGCAUUGCCAAGUUCUCCCAGCCAUGCACUUUGACAAAAGAAAAAAAAUGUGGCUAAGGAAAAUGCUAGUCCUUAGAGAGCUGGCGUGGAGAACUGCGCAGUGAUACAGUCAAGUCUCCAACCUCAAGCAUCCUGAAGAUAUCGGUGGUGUCCCCGCCUCAGGACUCAGGGAGCGCGACCUUUGCCUGGGUGUUGAUACAUUGCUCCCAGACCAGGCAUCUGAAACACUAAAGCGGACUAUGGGACUGAGUUGUAUGCAGAUUUGAAAAAAAUAUCAAAGGAAAAAGAAUGUCACUUAUUCUGGUAGCUUGCGAUCUAGAAGAACAGACUGGAUGGCUGCCCCAUGGAAAUGUGGAGAAACACGAGUUCAUGUUCUGCUUGCUCAACUGCAUGGUUCAUGUUGACUUCUUGGAGGAGAUGGCUCUAAAGUGGAUGCACAAGUGAGCGGGUUAAGAAUGCACCCUAACAGGAUGGGUAAAGUGCACUUCCUUGGCUGGAGCAGCAACAGAAAUGACAAAGUCUUUAUGCCUGCUAACCUUUCUGCUUCCCCUUCUUCCAUUGCACUGUGAGCAACAUCACAGCUUCCAGUAAAUGAUUUAUGUAGCUG
rnacentral:lncRNA from 1 species